rnacentral:rRNA from 1 species
GUGGGGAAUUUUGGACAAUGGGGGGAACCCUGAUCCAGCCAUGCCGCGUGUGUGAAGAAGGCCUUUUGGUUGUAAAGCACUUUAAGCGAGGAGGAGGCUACCGAGAUUAAUACUCUUGGAUAGUGGACGUUACUCGCAGAAUAAGCACCGGCUAACUCUGUGCCAGCAGCCGCGGUAAUACAGAGGGUGCGAGCGUUAAUCGGAUUUACUGGGCGUAAAGCGUGCGUAGGCGGCUUUUUAAGUCGGAUGUGAAAUCCCCGAGCUUAACUUGGGAAGUGCAUUCGAUACUGGGAAGCUAGAGUAUGGGAGAGGAUGGUAGAAUUCCAGGUGUAGCGGUGAAAUGCGUAGAGAUCUGGAGGAAUACCGAUGGCGAAGGCAGCCAUCUGGCCUAAUACUGACGCUGAGGUACGAAAGCAUGGGGAGCAAACAGGAUUAGAUACCCCAGUAGUCC